rnacentral:rRNA from 1 species
CGUAGGGGGCAAGCGUUGUCCGGAAUCAUUGGGCGUAAAGAGCGUGUAGGCGGCCCGGUAAGUCCGCUGUGAAAGUCCAGGGCUCAACCCUGGAAUGCCGGUGGAUACUGUCGGGCUCGAGUCCGGAAGAGGUGAGUGGAAUUCCUGGUGUAGCGGUGAAAUGCGCAGAUAUCAGGAGGAACACCAAUGGCGAAGGCAGCUCACUGGGACGGUACUGACGCUGAGACGCGAAAGCGUGGGGAGCAAACAGGAUUAGAUACCCUGGUAGUCCACGCCGUAAACGAUGGUCACUAGGUGUGGGGGGUGUCGACUCCCUCCGUGCCGGAGCUAACGCAUUAAGUGACCCGCCUGGGGAGUACGGCCGCAAGGCUA